rnacentral:rRNA from 1 species
AUGAAGGAUUGAAUGAGAUAUAAGCUGUCUCUUAUUUAUAUUUAUAGAAUUUAAUUUUUUAAUUAAAAAGUUAAAAUAAAAUAAAAAGACGAGAAGACCCUAUAGAGUUUUAUAAUUGAUUUAAUUAAGAUUAUUUAAAUAAAAAAAAUUAAAAUUAAAUUAAUUAUUUUGUUGGGGUGACAAAAAAAUAUAUUUAACUUUUUUUAUUUAUAAAACAUUUAUAAGUGAUUAUAUGAUCCAGUAUUAUUGAUUAAAAGAAAAAAUUACCUUAGGGAUAACAGCGUAAUUUUUUUUUUUAGUUCAAAUAAGAAAAAGAGUUUGCGACCUCGAUGUUGGAUUAAGAUAAAAUUUAAAUGCAGAAG